GGCCAGACUCCUACGGGAGGCAGCAGUGAGGAAUAUUGGUCAAUGGCCGAGAGGCUGAACCAGCCAAGUCGCGUGAGGGAAGACGGCCCUACGGGUUGUAAACCUCUUUUGUCGGGGAGCAAAGAGAGUCACGUGUGACUCAUUGAGAGUACCCGAAGAAAAAGCAUCGGCUAACUCCGUGCCAGCAGCCGCGGUAAUACGGAGGAUGCGAGCGUUAUCCGGAUUUAUUGGGUUUAAAGGGUGCGCAGGCGGAUUUUUAAGUCAGCGGUCAAAUCGUGGGGCUCAACCCCAUCCAGCCGUUGAAACUGGGGAUCUAGAGUGUGCGAGAGGUAUGCGGAAUGCGUGGUGUAGCGGUGAAAUGCAUAGAUAUCACGCAGAACCCCGAUUGCGAAGGCAGCAUACCGGUGCACAACUGACGCUCAGGCACGAAAGCGUGGGUAUCGAACAGGAUUAGAUACCCGAG
rnacentral:rRNA from 1 species